rnacentral:rRNA from 1 species
UACGUAGGUGGCAAGCGUUGUCCGGAUUUACUGGGCGUAAAGAGCGCGCAGGCGGUCGUUCAAGUCGCGUGUGAAAGCCCCGGCUCAACUGGGGAGGGUCACGCGAUACUGAUCGACUCGAAGGCAGGAGAGGGAAGUGGAAUUCCCGGUGUAGUGGUGAAAUGCGUAGAGUAUCGGGAGGAACACCAGUGGCGAAGGCG